UUUAUACUCCCUCCGUCCGGAAAUACUUGUCAUCAAAAUGGAUGAAAAUGAAUGUAUCUAGAACUAAAAUACAUCUAGGUACAUCUAUUUCAAUGACAAGCAUUUCCGGACGGAGGGAGUACAAG
rnacentral:pre_miRNA from 1 species